CACUGAGAAUUUAAAGGGCUGCGGUAAUUUGACCGUGCAAAGGUAGCAUAAUCAAUAGUCUUUUAAUUGGAGGCUUGAAUGAAAGGUUUGACGGAGGAAAAACUGUCUUAAUAGUUAGAGUUGAAUUUAACAUUUGUGUGAAAAGGCAUUAAUGGGUUAGAGGGACGAUAAGACCCUAUAAAACUUUACAUAUUAUAUUUUUUAGUUGAAUUGUUGAAUUAAUUAUUAAAUGGUUAAUUGUGUUUUGCUGGGGCGGCAGAAAUAUAAGUUUAACUGUUUUAAAUGUAAAAUAUUUAUUAAUAUAAAAUGUUCCUUAAUUUGAGAGGUAAGAGUAAGUUACUUUAGGGAUAACAGCAUAAUUUCUUCUGAGAGUUCUUAUCGAAGAUGAUAGUUGUGACCUCGAUGUUGAAUUAAAUUUUCUUUUAGGUGUAGGAGUUUAAAAGGGAAGG
rnacentral:rRNA from 1 species